GGAUUGUACGGAUAGAUCUGUCACAUAGUUGAAGGUAACUUCGGUGUUCCCAUCCCAACAACUCAUCAACUCUCGGUUUAAUCAGAAAGCUAUGCAAAACCGAAAUUGAUGAUGAUGACAAUGAACGGAAUCUAGUAGGAUGACUCGAAACACACCUUUAAACUUUAGUACUUGUAUUUUAUUUUGUUUCAAACUUGUUGUAAUUCUGUUUCGAACAAUGUACUUAAUGUUAGCAAUGA
rnacentral:lncRNA from 1 species